rnacentral:rRNA from 1 species
CCUACGGGUGGCAGCAGUGAGGAAUAUUGGUCAAUGGACGAGAGUCUGAACCAGCCAAGUAGCGUGAAGGAUGACUGCCCUAUGGGUUGUAAACUUCUUGUAUAUGGGAAUAAAAUGUUCCACGUGUGGGAUUUUGUAUGUACCAUAUGAAUAAGGAUCGGCUAACUCCGUGCCAGCAGCCGCGGUAAUACGGAGGAUCCGAGCGUUAUACGGAUUUAUUGGGUUUAAAGGGAGCGUAGGUGGAUUGUUAAGUCAGUUGUGAAAGUUUGCGGCUCAACCGUAAAAUUGCAGUUGAAACUGGCAGUCUUGAGUACAGUAGAGGUGGGCGGAAUUCGUGGUGUAGCGGUGAAAUGCUUAGAUAUCACGAAGAACUCCGAUUGCGAAGGCAGUUCACUGGACUGCAACUGACACUGAGGCUCGAAAGUGUGGGUAUCAAACAGGAUUAGAUACCCGGGUAGUC